AGAGUUUGAUCAUGGCUCAGAACGAACGCUGGCGGCAGGCCUAACACAUGCAAGUCGAGCGCCCUCGCAAGAGGGAGCGGCGGACGGGUGAGUAACGCGUGGGAAUUUUCCUCAAGGUACGGAACAACUCAGGGAAACUUGGGCUAAUACCGUAUGAUGUCUAGCGACCAAAGAUUUAUCGGAUUUGGAUGAGCCCGCGUUGGAUUAGCUAGUUGGUGGGGUAAUGGCCUACCAAGGCGACGAUCCAUAGCUGGUCUGAGAGGAUGAUCAGCCACACUGGGACUGAGACACGGCCCAGACUCCUACGGGAGGCAGCAGUGGGGAAUAUUGGACAAUGGGCGCAAGCCUGAUCCAGCCAUGCCGCGUGAGUGAUGAAGGCCUUAGGGUUGUAAAGCUCUUUUAGUGGGGAAGAUAAUGACGGUACCCACAGAAAG
rnacentral:rRNA from 1 species